UUGUUAUUUCUCUUUCAAAGCUUCACCUCUGUCUUUCUGCUAGAUUUUGCUUAAUCCCACAAUUCCCUCGAGCAAUGAGAAACCUUCCCCCUCCCUUUCUUUCUCUCUCUCUCUCUCUUUAUCUCUCUCUCUCUAAGCAUUUCUUUGUCUGUUAAUUAUCUCUUCUUCUUUUUCUUUCUUUUAGUUUAUAUUUUUGUUUAGUUAUAUUUCUUCUCACACAAUGCCACAUCAAAUGUUUCCUCAUUUGAACAUCCAAUUAUUCUAUUUUCUAAUUCUCCACACAACAAUUGUUUAAUCCUUAUUUUUCCAUUAAUGUGACUGUCAUAAUCUUUUCUUUGCAAUAUAACACACCUUAUAUUUUAUAAUUAUUUCUCAUUUAAUCACUUCACAAACUUAUUGUUUUUAUUUGUCCAAUUUAUAUAUUCUCCACUCCAAAUAGUUACUUAGAUUUCCAAUGUGUCUUUAAAAUAAAAUUUCCUUUAUAAUAUUUUGUAAUGUUUUGUCAAAUAAAGUCAAAUACCAUCACGAACAUCUGUCCUUUUUUGGACAAGCAAUCUUUUCCUAUUGAGCACAAUAUUUUAUUUUAAUCAAUCAUUUAAAUGAAUUAUUUAAUUUCUAGAAGUAGCUGUAUACUUCACUGUAAUAACUACUAUUUUUGGCUACAAUACCUCAGAACCACAAUGUCUUCAAAUCUAAUCUUUAAUACCCAGCAUUUAUAACUGUCUCUUAUAGUUUUAAACAAUCAUUCACUCCUGUAACACAACACCUCUCUGUGGGCUCUGCAGAGCCACAGGAGAAAGACACACCCACUACUCACUCAGCCCCCACUCUUUCCAUCUCAGACAUGCUCACACAGACUCAUUAUAUCACAGACACAUUACAUUCUCACACAAAUAAAAUAAAACAACUCUAUCUAGAAUACCUGGCCAAGUUCAUCUUUCCAUUACACUUCCGACAACAUGGAAAAGACUCACUUACACAAUUUACCAAUCCAACAUGACAAACAAAACAAAAACAAUAUCUUUCAUCAGCCCGGGCCUUUCAAAGCAACAAGACAAAUAACACAUAGACCGUACCUGACCUACCGGAUUUGAGUACUCUUCUCUCCGAACCCCAACGUGUCUGCCCCGACACGGUAACACUCAGGUUCUUCACUGCUCUUUCGCGAAACUUCUUAGGCAUUUUCUCAACUUAACAUUAAAUCUUUAUCCAAGCCACUCAAUGACAAAAAAUAAAACUCAUUCACACAAUAAACCAUCAUCUGUCCUAGCACACAUUCCUUUUGAAAAUGAAACCCUUUAUUCUUAUCAUUUAAUCUAAUAAUCUUUAAUUUGCCUUUUUAUUCCUAAAUUUGGAAGCGUAUUUGAGAUUUGACCACCACCAGCCAUCUCAGGUGAACAAUACAAUAUUUUAACAAGCAAAACUGCUCAUCUCUUUAGGUGGCCACCUGAUUGCAUUGCCCAUCGAGAAAGCCAGCUGUGGUCUCAGGUUCUGUGCUCUUUUUGAUGUCCCUUCUGGUGUCAAUUGUUUUUACCAAACCUUAAAUUUCAAAUGUAUGUUUGAUAACCUAUAAACCAAAUUGUUAACCCAACCAUUUUUCAGUAAUAACCAAUUAGCAUUUAUGUCAAACCCUUUAUUUAUUUGGGCUCUAUUUAUUUUAUUUAUUUAUUUAUUUAUUUAGGGCUCAUUCUUCCACACUCUAACACAUUAGUCAUUCACCCUACACUCACAGGACAGCAAUUACACCCCCCUUAACAGCCUGCAGAGACUGCCCAAGGGAAACUCUCUCCCUGCUUACCAGAUGCAAGUUCACAUUUCUCUCACACACUGCAGCUGCAUACAUACACACUCAAACACAAACAUUAAAUAAUUAAACAAUCGUUAAUCCACUUCCCCGACAUAACGAUUUAAACUUUUACGUGUCCUUUUUUACAUUAACCAAAUAAACAAUCGUUCAUCCACUUCCCCGACAGAUUCAUGCAUGCAUGCCUUAGUUAGAUUGUACCCUUGAAAUCAAAACCCAGUUCACAUAUAUGGUUCUUAAAUUUAGAAGAGCUUAAAUUUCUCACCACUUGGAGCAAAUUCUGGCAAACAACACAAACCUAAUAAAUAAGCAAAAGUGCUUACCUUUAGUAUAUGGCCAUAUGCUGUUUGUGUUGCUCGUCAGGUUCGCCCAGGUGGUGCGACUGUCCAGCUCUUUUCUAUCCUGGGUUUCGGCACCAAAUGUUGUGGUUUUCCUUUUCCUCAAAUGAAACAAUCUUCAGUCUUAGGUUUUGAUUUUAAGAGAUAGACUUUUAUUUUCCGAUCAAAUAAAAAGCGAGUCCGCCCUGGUGAAUCCUCCCAGAACCAGAGUGUUCCUCCAAAGUCAGUCUGACUCUCUGAGCCAUGGCUUGGCAAAAAUAUAGGCCUUGGUUCACUCCCCUCCAUGUUCAAAACAACAUGUUGCUGUUCAGGCUUGUAAUUUGAAGAACCACAUGACAUUCCUCAGACCAGUGUCUCGGUCCCAUGACCUAUUUGACUCUAGGCUAUUCAUUAUACUCUGAGACCCUCUGUGACCUUUGACAUGAAACUAUGUGUAUAUACACAGCUGGGUUGCAAUAGCAAUCCCAUGGCAAACUCCUGACACACACACACAGCAUAACUCACACACACACUGCAUUUGAUUAUAAUGAUAAAUUCACAUUUAUGUAGAUUGGGAUUAAAAUAAAUUUCUUCAAAUGAAGUAUUUGAUUCCCUAUCAAUCAAGAAUAUUUUGAUUCCCAGACAUCUUUUGUUUAGGUCUACAAUUUUGUCUUUACAUUAUUUGUAAUAGAGCUGCAUGAUUCAUGCUAAAAUGUGAAUGAGGAUUUUUCUCCAUGGGAAUUGAGAUCCCGAUUCUCUCACCCGAUUCCCUUUUUGUUUGUUUUUUUAAAAACAUUUAUUAUGCAAUUUAAAAUGUGUUAACUGUUGAAUAGCACCUGUGCUUUUUGUACUAUCAAACUGGCCAACCUUAUAACUUUAAAAACACUUAAAGGCUCUCUAAGCGAAUCUGCGAGACGUUAGUUAUUGUUGACGUUUGAAAGUGUUUUCAAACAGACGGAGCGUAGCUAACUCCUCCUCCUCCCCCUCCCCCUCCCUUCCGUGCUUUCAUGAACGCGCCCAACCCCCACCCCCAAAUCCUUUUUGUCGUUUAUUGGCUGGAAUACUUUGUUUUGUUAUGCGAUGCUAGGUUUGUCCACUUGUUGAUAUUGCCGUUUGUGAAGCCUGGGCUGUCUACAGAGAUCGCGUUUUUUUACAGUUUGAUCAGCGGACAGGCAGCAAGCAGAUAGUGAGGAGAUGUUUCCGGUAUGUAACAAAAAAUGUUUUAUGGUCUAAAACGCUUCAAUUCGCUUAGAGCGCCUUUAACCUUUAAAAGAUGAUCAACAUUUUGAGGCAUCAGAGAGAAACGCAGAUAUGUUAUAAUGUUCCCCUCGUGCUAAAAACCUUUUCUAAUGGGAACUUAUGGUGGUGACACAGAGGCCGUUUCACAAUCUGAAGGCUGCAGCCUCUGGAUGUCGCAUUUGUAAGCUGCGCAUCAUAAAGACUGUCUAAUUUCAAAAUAUUAACAAUUAACGUUAUAAAGUUGACUACUAUAUAGUUAAUCAUAAAUUGUUGUAGUAUGUUUAUGACUUGCGAAUGUAAUGCUUCUUUAACUCAAUUGAAUUCGAAGCCUGCAUAUGCAACCUCUGGAGGCUGCAGCCUUCCGAUUUAGAAACGUACGGAGGUAACUAAUUUCCUUGCCUUCUUUUGGAACCAAUAUUGUUGCAGUGGUCGACACCAGGGGCCCUUUUCAGAAAGAUGGUUAAGUGCAAACUCUGAGUUUGUUAGCCCUAAAUUAAAGGGAAACCCUGACAGGGUGUCCACGGGGUUUUAAAAAGUGUUAAAAAGUAGGGAUGAGUAUUGUUUGGGGUUUUUUCGAUACUGGUGCCAAAUCGAUACUUUUAAAACGGUUCCGGUGCCUAAACGGUGCCUAAAGCGAUACUUUGAAAAAAGAGUCACAAAAAGAUGGUAGAUGAAAGUACAGCAUAAAACACAAUGAAAAUUCUUAUCUGUUUGUCAUAAUUUGUUUAUUAAUGAUUUGCCUAAAGCACCAUCAUCUUUUAAGACCUGCAUUCUUGAUUUCUUCUUUAUAAGAUUUUUGAUUUGUGAAUUAAAUAAAAUCUUCUCAACAAUCCACUUUGAGCUCAGAAAAAUGUUCUAUGAUUGGUUGUUAAUAAUCUGUUCAAUGAUUGGUUAAAGCCUACGUGGCUGCCGCUCACAAAAAGAUAAAGAGUUCUAAUCGAAAGUGAUCCUCCCUAUUGUCCAUUGUCUGCUACUGUAUGUAUUUACUGUUUACUCCUAACUGUUAUUGUGAAGCGUCCUUGAGCUAUGGAAAGGCGCUAUAUAAAUUAAACUUAUUAUUAUUAUUAUUAUUAUUAUUAUUCCCUUUGAAGAUCAGAUCUCUUGAACUCUAGAGAAGUUGCGCAAUCAUAGUGUGGCUAAUUAAACACACUUGGCAAAUAGAGCAAUAAAAUACAGCGUCUUUUUCUUUUUAUUUGGAUCGACUGUUCAUGUGACAUCCUCUUCGUGAAGUGCCUUGACGCAAAACGGCAUUUGGCAUUCACCCCAAAUAUUUUCUCGGCUUGUGAAACCAUUCACGUUUUGACGCUUUCUGCUUGUCUCCGAUGAACUUGACACCCGUGACUGCCGCGGUCCAUUUCAGGCCGAUAUCAGCUGAAGUACUAAUAAAAACAUUAGUGAGGUAAUACGUUUUAGCAAAUUCUCUGAAGAAAUGUUACCAUAUUAGCAAAAUAAGCUGCCGUCAGAUCAAUUGCGGCAUUCAUGCGCUCCUCUGAGGAUCUCAUUUUCCAAAUUGUUCUUUUAAGUCAGAAUAUAAAAAUAACCUGGACAUAACGUUAUGUUCUUACAAAAUUUGUUCGAAUUGUAUUAUUAGGGAUGUGCAGAUGAGGAUUUUUUCACAUUUUAAACUAAUUAAACACAGCGCAUAUUUUAAAUGAAAAUGUAUUUGGCAAAGUUCAAAAGUUGGCUACAUUUAAUCUUUAACAUUAGAUUAUUUAAUAUUUCCAUGUAUUAAUAAAAUAUUUUUUAAAAUGUUUGUUCAUUAUUACCUUUGACGAAAAACUCAACUCUAAAUAAAUAAAAUAGUAGCUCCAAUUACAAACUUGCUUAUAUUGCUUGUUUAUUAAUAAAACGAAUUCAACGGAUGGUAUCUGCGUUAAAACACAAACAAAUGUAAGAUUUAAUUGACAUAAUUUUUCAUUACUACGAAUGCUUAUUUGUUCAUUUUUUUUAUUAAAACAGAACAACAAUAAAUUAGUAAAAUGACUCGCUUAUAUUAAACAAAACAUUUAACAAAAACGAAUAGACGGAAAACAAUUUACCCGCCCUAUAACAUAAAUAAAUCUAAAGAUCCUUAGAUUUUUCAAAACACAUGAUUGGUUUACAUUUUUUUAUCAAUAUAAAACUACAAUAAUGUAAAAUUUGAACAAACUCACCUAAGUUAAGCAAAGAAAUCAAACUUGAAUCCUAUGUAUAAUCAAAGCUUUCCGACUUUCACAUUCACGUGAAUUUUGUAAGUCAGGAAAUUAUUUACACCAUAUGAGUGCAGUAUAAUUAAACUAGCGAUUGUGCUGUGCUUGUGUGAUUAUGCUUUUUGUGUUACAGAGAGCAAAAUGCUUCAGUCAACUGUUCAUGCAUUAAAGAGGCACCGAAAUGAGGCACCGAAAUCUGUGUUCUGAUUCGGUCCGGUAGGUACCGCCCAUAUAGGUUCCGGUGCCAUAAUGGCACCGCGUUUCGGUACCCAACCCUAUUAAAAAGUGAUACAUCAAAACUGUCAAAUUUAAGGCCAUUAAAAGUGUUACAUUUUGCUUAGAGGUAUUAUUUUUUUCCAAAUUAGGUAUUAUUUUUUCAGACUAUCAGGUGUUCUAUUCUGAUUGAAAUUCUAUCUGCAUUCGCGUUAGUUCGUUUAAAUAUGGGCUUUAGCAUAUCUGGGCACAUAAUCAAAGAUAUUUCGUCUCUGUGAUGUGAUCAAAGCCUAGAGUGGAGCCAAAUCACGUUCCUCUCUCCACUGUGAGUGUUCUGAAAUCACUACGCACCGGAUCCACUCUGGGUUUUCUGACUGUAUCACGUUAAGCUGAGGUAAAACUUUAUUUCAGCUAGCAUGGUCAAACUUAUAAUGCAGAAAGGCUCCGAUGUUUUGAAGAUCGAUAAAGGUGUAAAAGACCAAUGGAGAUUGACUUGGCUUAGCGAAAUGAUGAAGAUUGGCAAGCCUUUCAGUUCGUGGACUAAGAAACCCAAACAGCCAGGUAACUUGCGUGUCUGCACAGUAUGACUACGUUAGGGGUCCUGUAUUUUGGGGGUAAAUGAUUUCUCACGUACGUGAUCAUCCGCGUCAAGUUUUUUAAUGCUAUGCUGAUCUAGCCAGUGGCUGAUACAACAGGUUUGUUAAACUCGUGGGUAAACUUCAUGUGGCGCCACAAGAACCAAGAGGCAGAUGACAUCCAAAUCCUGUGAGAGCGAUUGACGAGGAAUCAUAAGAAGAGACUGCUUCCAAAAUGUUCUCGCGUGAUUUUGAUUUAAUCCACCUGUCGGUUCUUGCAGUUGCAUUUGCGUGUGGUCACAAAAACGUAACAUUUGUACAUAUAUUUAAGCACCGCAGUUUAUAAACAAGUGAUUUUAAGCCAUUCAAACACAAACAGUGCUAAAUGCGUCCGCUGUUUCGGUGUCAGAGGAUCACGCAAGCCGGGCAUUUGUUUCUCAUUGAGUUUGUGUUGAGUAAUUUUGCCGCUUUAUUGGCCUUAAAUAACACAUAUGCCUAAAAAAUCCCGUCUUUGCAAAUAUCCUCAUAUAAACACGACCAUUUAGGUCUUAGGAGAAAGUAAACAGCAGAAAAAUUGCACAUAAAAUAGCGCUGCCUCUAUUGUAACAUAAUAUUUUCUUGAUAAAGGUACAGUCAAUUUACAACUUUAUAACUACGGUUACAGGCAUCCUGUGCGAAUUUGUACACGAGUUUGACUCGAGUUACUCGUUCAGGGUUUAUAUUCAUACAUAACGUAUUAUAGCUGUUUUGUGAACAGAACAGACCCUGGAUUAUUCGUUUACUGAAUAAUAUGAUAUGAAAAAGUUGUAUUUGUUCACAUUAGUAAAUGCAUUAUAUAACAUUAACAAACAAUGAAAAAUAUAGAGUAUAUAAGCAUUAAUUAAUUCUUGUUUAUGUCAUUACAGUAAUUGACGGUAGUUCAUGGGGCAUUCACUAAUGUUAAGAGUUUCAACUUUUUAUUUAAAUUAUUAGUAAAUGCUAAAAUAAAUACAUUUACAAUUAAUAAAUAAUUAAUAAAAGAUUCAUUAAAGGUGUUGAUAUUCAUGUUUUCUUUUUAUAUAGUGAGUUAUUUAGCUGUUUCGCUGUUUAUCUGAAAUGCCCUGCAAACUACAGCUACACUGAAAAAAAUGGACUUGGUGGGUCUUUGAAUUUAAAUAAAAUAAACAUGUAUAUGCAACACAAAAUAUUUAUAUUCCUUGUGUAAACAUAAUUUAAUUGAUUAGGAUGAAAAUGUUUUGUUUGUUUGUAAAAUGAACACAUUAUUCUCACAUUGAUUAAAAUUGAUUGAAUUGAAUACUUAAUGCAAUAAAAUUGAGUUUGCAUACAAAAUGGCACCUCCUGAGCAGAAGGUGGCAGUAACGCUCAAUGAAAAGGACGUCAACUGCCAUAAAAGAAGAAUAAACAUCGUUUGUUUUGGGCGCCAAAAUGAGCAGCAGUCAGUCAGAAGAACUCUCUCAGACGGACACCACGUUAUUAAAGUAAGUUCUAUUAUUUAUUUAUGUUCACUUUAUACGUGAUACAUCUUCACUAGAUAGACAGUUUUUUACAAUAUGUAGCCAUUGCAAUGACUUGUAGUAAAAAUUAGUUUGGAGGAGGUUGGUGGAGUAAGUUAACGUUACAGUCAGGCUCAUAAAACAGCGUUUUAAAAAUGUCAGCUGUAUAACGUUAUUUCACGUUUGGUAGUUUUAUCCGAGUUGAAAACUGUCAGCUUUAAGUUGACUUUUGAGGCACUUUUUACUCAGCUGUUCUAUGGAAACGUAUCAGGACAAAUAAAACGCUAACCAAACGUUAUUCUGUCCAGAGUAACGUUAUCCAUGUAAGUAAUUUACCAGAUAAUAUCAAUUGACUACAUUAAUAAUGACAUUGCGUAUUAAACAAACUGUCUGCUUAAUCAGAUUAUCAGACCCGCGUCAGUUAUUUGUGACUUCGCUACGUCACGAGCAACACUUGAUUCUAUUAGAAAAAGCUUUUUUAAAUGUCUCGCGUGACGUCUGGUAUAUUAACUGAAAAAAAUUGCUUUAUAGUGCCACACCUUAAAGCUGACAUUUUCAGAAGAGAACCUUGUUGUUUUAAGAUCUAAUUUUGUCCAAAUUUUGUAUGACUGAUAUAAUACUUAUUUCAUUAUUGCUCUGUGUAUGUGUGACCUUCAUCAUUUGAGGUUAUGUUUGAUUUCACCUCUUAAUAUUUCCUCUUAUAGGUCCAUCAUCCUUGCACACACUCAAAAGCAUUGAUAAAUGCUGAAUUUAAAAGAAUCAGUACUGUCUAAUGUUCCUGCGUGUCACCUGGACCUCCAAUCCAAAAACCUGACGAAACUCUUCUAUCAGAAAGCAGGACAGCUAGCAAAAAGACUUGGAACAAUCAAUGAUCAAAUGACAGAAGGCAUGGAUGAAGUCAGCAUCAGUGUGGUCAUUUGAAGACACCAAUGUUGGGAUUUGUGCUCUCAAACAACAUGCUUCUUGUGAUGAAGAAGAGGAUCUUUGUAUAGUCCUGGAAGCCAUGAAGGUGUUGCAACAUCGUGCCAUGUUGUUUGAGCUGAUGUAUGCCUUAAACCUGAGCUAUCCUCAUCUCCACUUUAUUUUUGAGGAAAUCCAAAAGAUUUUAAUGGAACUGCAUUGAGCGUAACUUUAACGAACAGUUUCUUUCAGUGAAAGGAUCAGAAAGACCGUGCUGCUCAUUUUCGACUUUGUUUAUCUGUUUUAAGUGUUUUCUCUUAUUAAAACAUUAACAGUUUGCUGCUCAGAGUUGAUUUUGGAAAUGGUUGUUCUAUUUUGUUUUUGUUGAAUCUUUGAUUAACAGUUUAUACAAAUGCUGUAGCUCUGACUUUCUGAAGGACUGAUAUUUUCCAGUUUGUAAAUCCAUUUAAAAAAUAAUAGUACUUAUUGUUUUGCAUUUCUCUUUGGAAUGCAGUGUUUGUGUUUUAGCACUUCUAAAUCUACUGUGAUAGUAACUAUUUUAAACAUUUGGGUCAGUUUCACAGAUGGGGCUUUUCCUAGUCCCAGACUUUUGCAAUGCCUUAAUUUGAAAACAUAUUGCACUGCCAUAUCAGUGCCAUUGUUUUGUCUCAAGAUGUACUCCAGUGUUGUUUUUGUAAGGUAGGUUUGUUUGUAAACUUUUUUUGUAAAAAAUAUCCUAAUAUAACUAGAGCCUAGUCAUGGAUUAAUCUACAACCUGUCUGGGAAAUUGCCCCUUUGUAUGUACUGCAUGUGCUGAUUGUUGUAAUAGUUAUUGACUGUUAUUGAAUUAAUGUGUAGUGAUUUAAAUGAAUUGAUGAUCUGAAAGCAGUGGUUUGCCUCAAUAUCACUUAACAUUUGUUCAAAACUCUUUGCUUUUUAUGCCAAUGCAAAUGUAUUUUGUAUUUAAAAAAAGAAAUAACAUUUGGAUAAUUAUGGGUGAUUAUUCUGGUGUCAGAGACAUAAUGAAAUUGCUUUAGAGUUACAUAAUCCCAUAAUAUAAGCAUUAAAAAAGCAUGUUGGAAUUAGAGAUGAAAAUCUAGUCCCCUUACAUAAUAAAAUUACUUAGACAUUACAAAAUAAAUGUGUUAUAGCAGGGAUUCCCAAAGUGUGGUGCGCGCACCCCCAGGGGUAUGCGAGCUGCCACCACGGGGUGCGCGAGAGGAAAAAUGUAAUGGCGGUCUGUUUCUUUAAAUGGGAUUUUGCAUACAAGAAAAAAAUAAAAAAUGAACAGUAAACAUUUCCUUUGUAAUCGCUUUUAUUUUAAAUAAAAAAACUAUAAUAAAUUAGUUUUUGAUAGAAACGUAGAAGACAGCUGCUGUCUUUUUCUACGCACUGCUCUUCUGUUAUGCACUGCAGCCACCAUAUGCGUGCCAACUCGUUUCAUUCAUUCCAUAUAUAUUAUAAAUAUGCUUAACUGGCUAAAAUCAGGGAAACUGUCAAGUGUGGGACGUCUUAUGAUAAAGUUGUUAGUCACGAAGGAGGAGAGGGACCAAGAGAGAGAGACGUUUUUAUGGCAAAAAUAGAAAUAAUGAAAUGUGAUGAGACAUGGGCACGUCUAAUGCACAGGAUACGCGAGCAAUGUGUUUUCAUGCAUGGUAAAGAGACCGCCAAUGAAUUAUAUAAUAAAAUACAUAAAUACUUACAAAGACACUGUAGAGAGCUUAUUAGAAGCUUUCAUUUAAUUUAGUUUUAAACUUGAGCUGUUAUAAUGAAUCUGCAAACUAUUAUACACCUUUUGUGCGAACAGUAAAGGCUUUCGUGAAUGAUGGGUCUGCACGUUACGCACGCAUCUAGAAGGAGAGCGCACUGCUAAACAUGAGGAAACUCUCAUAUAUCUUCUAUUAGCUGAUGGCAGUAAGUGUAAAUUUUUUACCAUAGGAAACUCGAAUGGCAUCUAAAUAUCACAGUGGUUAAACGCAUACACGGGGGAGCGCAUCUACGCUGAGCAUAGCUGCGUCUGGUCGUAUCCCAGAUAGCAAAAAAUAUCCGCAUGGCUUCUUUAUGUCGCCAGCCCCAAGCUGUCGGCUAUAGGUGCGUCCCACUGGCGGGGAUGAAACUUUUGCUGCCGAAUACGUCACUCUCAUUUGUUGCGAGAUACCGCCAGCAUGCAGCCGGCGGACCGACUGCUUAAUUUAUGCAAAAGCGGCUGCAGCGGCGGUCCGCCGUCAGACCUGUUUGCGAUUACGCCCUUAUGACGCUUACUGCCGCCAGAGCACCGCCGGUGGUCCGAAUACGUCACUCUCAUUUGUUGCGAGAUGCCGCCAGCAUGCAGCCGGCGGACCAACUGCUUAAUUUAUGCAAAAGCGG